GCGCUGCUGAGGCUGGACACGAAGAGUCUGCUGAGGGAGGUGGAGGAGGAGCAGCACCACCAGCAGCAGUCACAAAACCACCACGUCUUCAACACGCCUCCGCCCACGCCCCCGGAGCUGCUGCCCUCGCACGACUUCAGCGACCUGAGGCUGCUGAUGGACGCGGCGCUGCAGAGGGCGGCCGAGCAGGAGAGCCAGAAGAGGAGGGAAGAGGAGGAGAAGAAGCGGGCCAAGGAUUUGGAGGAGAGCAGGAAUCUGGGAUCCACGCCACCUCCUGAGGACAGUCAGCAGGUGCUGGCCCCGUCCCAAGCUCAGAUCUUGAUGGAGAAGGCCAUGUCUCCGCCUGUCUCCUCGAUGCCAGCCCACGCCCGCCCUCCUCGCCGCUGGUCCUGGCCGCGCCCCCCACGCUCACCAAAGUCAUCUGGAGCGCCCUGGAAAAAGACAAAGCCAGCGCCAGCUCGGACUCGCCGCCCCCCCCUCCUCCUCAUCCUCCUUCAGGCGCCCCCCCGGCCCCGUCGUCUUCUUCUUCUUCCCAGCCCGCUCCCGCCAUCACGCUGGUCCCCGCGCCCCUGAGCCUCCCCGUCUACCUCCCUGUCCACAAAUACUCCAUCUCCUGCCCGUCGACGGCGAGCGCGGCCCACACCGUGACCAUGGCGCCCGUCCGCAUGGUCACGCAGGCGGCUUCGAACCGACAGGCCAGCGUCUGGGGCGUGGUUCACCCCGACGGCCGGCAGACCGGGGCGCUCAAAGUGGUGCAGGCGCCCAUCGCGGCCGUGUGGGCGCCCAACAAGCACAACCUGCACCAGGAGAUCGUCAACUAGAGCGCCCGGGACCAGACUUUGUAAAUAGCGGGACGUACUGAGGGACACGCCUUCGAAAAAAACGGACCAGGGGCGGGGGUUCGUCUACAGUGACUUCUUUUUGGAGACGGUUUUUAACUUUUAGCACCAGCACAUUUCCGCAGCAGAGAACAACUGAAUGUAGAAAACUCUCACUUUUCAUUUUGGGGAAUCCUAAAGCUGGAUAAAUGUAUUUUUAAAAUCUCUUUAAAAAAAAAUAUUCAGGUUUGUUACUAUUUUUUGGUUUUGUUACUAUUUCCAUGCGUGUUGUUGUUUUUUUACGAUGCUAACUAAGCGGUGACGAGCUAAAAGAGCAGAACAGACUUUUCUUUUAUCAGGAGAGUGUUUUUUCUCCCAAUUAAAUGCUGUACAGCAGGGGAGGGCCGAUUUUCAUUAUUGGCCGAACCUCACCAUUGUAGCCUAAAGUAAAUAACUUUUUUCUACAAAUACCAAUGUUUUUACAUCAGUGGUUCUCAAAUGGUUUGGCUUCAAGACCCAACAUUACCCUCGUAUGACCAGCCACGACCCAAAUGAAAAUGUGAUUUGUCAUAUAUUGUAUAAAAAUUUUAUUUUCCACACAAGUUUUUGUUGCACAAGCAGUAGAUCUGCCUUUAAGACUGAAAUUAGGAUCAAAACAACUCAAUAACAUUAAUUUUAACAGACUCUGUUAGUGAUUCCAUGCAGUUUCAGAUGGAAAAUAUUGAAUAAAAGUUCCUUAUAGGCACGCCCCACUGAAAAUGGUUCCGUGAUCCACUUUGGGUCCCGACUCACCAGUUGAGAACCACAAGUGGGACGCUCUGCCAGGAUAUUUUUUUAAAUACUGACGCUAUUUCUCACAUUUUUAGGGUACUUUAACAGGUAUUUGAUCUCUUAUUUGCAUAAUAAUAAUAUUUCUCAAAUCAUCUUGGGGGGCCAGAGGUUCUGUGCUGGAGGGCCGGAUUUGGCCCCUGGGCCUGACGUUGCAUACCCCUGCUGUACAGUAUGAACGUAGAAAGCAUAAGCGACCUGGAAGACGCUCAGACAGUGAGCAGAGCGGCCGCUGUGGGAAAACCCAGGAAAGGAGAAUCUGUCAAAACCUUGAUACGACCUUCAUCCACAUUUCUAAUACUUAUUGGCCUUGGUUAUUUUUGUUGAAAUACAAACACUUAAUUUUUUUUUUUUAAUGAAACUGACUAAAACUAGACCAAAAGCUUUUGAGUUUUGUCAGCAAAAAUAGAAAUGACUUUAAAGCAUUUGCAUUAUUCCAUAUCAUUUUAACUUUGAUCCUUGGACGUUCAAAAACGUGGCAGCUUUAUCUGAUGAAUUGAAUGAACAUACAAAAAACUCUUUCAUUGUGUGUUUUUAUUUUUUAAUUUUUUUUUUUUAGACGUUUUAGUAAGUUUUUCGAUAAACAUUUGUUUCACCAAAACAGAAACCGUUUCGGCACCAGCCACUUUGGCCUCUGUCGUAGCCGAUGUAGGAAUGAUUUGACCUAUCAACAAUUUUACAAAAGACACAUUUUUUUAAGCUUUUUGUAACCAUAGUUUUCUCAUUUCUCCAAGUCGUAGUCACUCAGCACCAGCAGCACGCUUCAGUAACAGUGAAUGUAGAGAAAACGAGUCUUUCUUCAAAACUCUAUAAUUCAAAAAAUUAUAAAAUGUAUUCUCUCCACAAACGUGCACCCGUUUGAUCGGUCCUGCAUUUUUAAACUUUUUUUUUUGCUUUUGAAAAGAUGAAAUAUGCACCAAAAAGUUUAUUUCAGAGUCCUGAAUGUUUCAUGUAUAUGUUAAAUACAGUUUUUGUUUUAAAUGAUCUACUGUUUACAUGUUAUUUCUUUGGGAGGAGUGCAUUUUCAUAUUGAAGUCCUCUCCUGCCUCGGGUCUUCCUCCUGUUUCCUGGCAGCUCCAACCUCCACAUCCUUCCCACAGAUCAAUCUGGAAACGUUUCUCUAAAACAUCUCGCGUGAAGUGUCAGAAUUGUAUUUUCUAUGAACAAAGUAACCUCAGCGUCUCUAAGCAGUUGUAGCAGCCCUGUCUUUCAACUCUGUAAUUUGAUUUGAUCGAUUUUGCGCACCAUGUUCUUGUAGUUUCCAUGAAACUUUAUUCAUUAUGUUUUUACAAUAUUGGAGCACAACAGUGGGUUGGUGUCGAACUAGAUCCCAUUCAUUUUUCCCAUAGAUUAUUUUUUUUUUUUUUUUCACUCUUUUUAGCUGUUUUCUGGCGGACUAUAAACAUAUACAGUCAAGCCAAAAUCCAUCCUGUCCAUCUGGAUGUUUUUUAUUCACAGCAAAUUGUGCAGUAGAAGCGAAAAGCUGCACUCGUCGCUAACGUAGCAUGCAGCUAACGUUAGCUUUGUGAGCUUCCUGGGGGGGGGUCGACCCUACGUUCCCCAGGUCGGGUGUUGCGUCAAAGUGAAAGAAUAAGUUUACUUAUACCAUGGUCUGGGUGAAACUCAAAUCUGAUUGGCGUUAGAACUGUAUAACGCACAGUUAUGGUGCGUUCCAGGCAACCGGUAUAUUUCCCACUUGAAACUUACGACCUGAGUGCGUUCCAGGUGAUUAAAAAUGUUAAAAACAUGUGACAUCAUGUUAUGUUGAAAGCUGUGACCAAAAUUAGCAUUGACAUCACUGAUGCAGUGGUUUUGUUACAGUGUUAACAUUAGCUACUCCUCCACUGGAGGCGCCAUUACUGUCUUCAUCUCGCAUACGAACUCGAAGCAGUCUGGAGGUUUCCGAGUUUACAAGUUGUAAUUACCAGUUCGAGUGGCGUAAAAAGUAGACCAUGGCAUAAAUAAAUGGGUAUUUUAUUUUACAAAACGCAAUUAGGGUUAAUGUUUGCCAGCGUUUAUUGGGUUUUAGCCAAUGGUUUAGCGCAUGUGGAAAUGCUUCUGUUCGCAGGAUUUGUUUGAAAUUAUAUCCUUAUUGUAGUUUUAAAAGACUAGGCUAAAUAACAAGCCUUUGUUUUAUUUAUUUUUUAUUCCGUCAAUAGAAGUGUGAGGACAUGGGGCUCGGGGAAUGCUAACCAAUUUUUCCUGGUUAGCAUUGUCCGUUUUUUAAAGUAUUUAUAGGCUGUUGAACUUUGCUCCUCGACAUGUCUCUGUAUCUUUAUUUAGUAGAAAAAUAUAUUCAUAAUUCAGCAUUUGUUAAAUUAAUGGUGGAGAAAUGGGGAAAAGUUUUUAUUUAAUGUUAUAUCUUUGUUUUUCCUCUAUGCCUCAAACAUCACUAUACAGUAGAUGGGCAAUUCCAAACAUGCUGUCUGUAUCUAUGCUAAAACCUUCCAAUAUGUAUAAUAAGCAAGAGUCAUUUACUGUGUUUUAAAACAAUUUUCCAGUGUUAUAUGAACCGAAAAGUAGUCCUCUUUGUUCAGCUCAAUAGCUAUAGCUAUAUAGUUUUGUCAUUGGCGAGCCAGAGAUUUCCAGUUAGUAACUACUACACCACGGCAACUGACUUUUCCCCCACGCUUAAUCAUUCACAAAUACUGACUCAUUAAGCAUCCAUGUGUUCAGUGAAAGGCGACCGAGAUGAAGCUGUAAUCCAAAUAUGGUCAUUUCCUUUCUGGGAGACUAAAGAUGGGGAGAAAUAUACAGGCGCAUGUACAGACGUUACAAAACUCUAAAUGAUGUUUCAUUCCACUUUUCUGCAUCUCCAAAGUGGAGAGUUUGUUGUAAAAGUCCUACCGACCUUGGUUUUUGAGCUUUGCACCCAAAAAAAAAAGACUAAAUAUAAAUUGCUCAUAAACUAAAGAAGAGCCUAAAUCCCUCUAAAAAAAAUCUUGGUAACUAAUAAAUCAACAAAAUAAAAGCAUACAUUUAAUCCUGGCUCUAUUAUUUUGAUCUUGUCACUGAAUAUAGCGGUGAUUUUGGUCAUUUUUAUGUUGUUUUUUUUCUCUUUUCACCGUCAGCAUCUGGCCUUAAACUCUUUAAUAUUUCUGUAAAAAAUCUUUGGGGAAAAACUCACUUUGUUGUGCUCCUUUUGUGUUACUUUGACUCUCAACUUUUGUGAGAACCAAAACUCUAAUUACUCUACUUCAGUUUCUAAGCACAAUCCAGUCCACGUUUCUGCUCCCGUCGUUUUGGCCAGUAUAACUCUUUUUUUGUAUACCUCAGCGUUGAAUGUCCGAUCUCUCGUUGGAUUUCUGCCACAGCGCCUCUAGUGGCCGAAUCAUGUCUGCAAACCCGUUUCUUUAACUGCGGUUGUUCGUUUGACUGAAUAAUGUUGUUUGUAAAUAAUAGUUUUUUGUAGCAUGAGUUCUGAAGCGUCUUUAGCCAAAUACAAACGUCAUGGUCAGUUCGUUGCAGUAUAGGACUGAGUGUUGUGCCUUAAAUCGAUGGAUGUCUCUCUAUGAUCAAACUUCUCAAUAGAAACAGUGCAAUAUACGCCUCAAAUCUGUUUUGUAUUCUUCAGAAAAUAAAAACCUUUUUGUACAUCUGUCUGUUGUGUUGUCAUUAUAGAAAUUCUG
rnacentral:lncRNA from 1 species